UCAGGAUGUGCUGUAGCUGAGUUAACUGAUAAGGAGAAGGAUGGGGAGAAAUCACUCACUUAUGUCAGCAGUGUUACCAAACCAAUUAAGCUGGUGUAAGCAUUUGUCUACUGCACAUGCUUCAAAGACUACCAGAACAAGAGUUCAAGUGAUGAAGAUUGUUGGAAGAAGUAAAACGACCACCAAA